rnacentral:rRNA from 1 species
AACGAACGCUGGCGGCGUGCCUAACACAUGCAAGUCGAACGAGAAAGGGGCUUCGGCUCCGAGUAAAGUGGCGCACGGGUGAGUAACACGUGGGUAACCUGCCUCUAAGAUUGGGAUAACUCGUCGAAAGAUGAGCUAAUACCGAAUAAGACCACAGUUCCCGCGGGAACAGGGGUCAAAGGUAGCCUCUGCUUGCAAGCUAUCACUUAGAGAUGGGCCUGCGCACCAUUAGCUAGUUGGUAGGGUAACGGCCUACCAAGGCAAAGAUGGUUAGCUGGUCUGCGAGGAUGAUCAGCCCAACUGGAACUGAGACACGGUCCAGACUCCUACGGGAGGCAGCAGUGGGGAAUAUUGCGCAAUGGGCGAAAGCUUGACGCAGCAACGCCGCGUGAGUGAUGAAGGCCUUCGGGUCGUAAAGCUCUGUCGGGAGGAACGAAUGCUCCUGAGGUUAACAGCCUCGGGAGGUGACGGUACCUUCAAAGGAAGCACCGGCUAACUCUGUG